rnacentral:rRNA from 1 species
GAUGAACGCUGGCGGCGUGCCUAAUACAUGCAAGUCGAGCGAACAGACGAGGAGCUUGCUCCUCUGACGUUAGCGGCGGACGGGUGAGUAACACGUGGAUAACCUACCUAUAAGACUGGGAUAACUUCGGGAAACCGGAGCUAAUACCGGAUAAUAUAUUGAACCGCAUGGUUCAAUAGUGAAAGACGGUUUUGCUGUCACUUAUAGAUGGAUCCGCGCCGCAUUAGCUAGUUGGUAAGGUAACGGCUUACCAAGGCAACGAUGCGUAGCCGAGCUGAGAGGGUGAUCGGCCACACGGGAACGUGGACACGGUCCAGACUCCUACGGGAGGCAGCAGUAGGGAAUCUUCCGCAAUGGGCGAAAGCCUGACGGAGCAACGCCGCGUGAGUGAUGAAGGUCUUCGGAUCGUAAAACUCUGUUAUUAGGGAAGAACAAAUGUGUAAGUAACUAUGCACGUCUUGACGGUACCUAAUCAGAAAGCCACGGCUAACUACGUG